rnacentral:rRNA from 1 species
AUGUCAGUAUUUAAACUUCCCAAAAACAUAUGUAAGGCAAUUAUAGAUGAGAUUGCAGGAUUUUCGUGGGUGGAUAGUGAGGAAAAGAAGAAGAUUCAUUGGUUUGCAUGGUGGAAGUUAUGCAUCCCGAAGAGUAAGGGUGGUUUGGGGUUUAGAGACCUUCACAGUUUUAAUCUUGCUUUAUUAGCAAAACAGUGUUCGCGUUUACUCCAGAAUCAUGAAUCUUCGUGUGCAAGAGUUCUAGGUGCAAAUUACUACCCUGAUGGCAAUAUACUCAUGGCUGGCCCCAAGAAGGGUUCUUCGUUUACCUGGCAAAGUAUUGUAUCAGGUAUACAAAUGUUUAAGAGAGGAUGUAUUUGGCGUGUGGGUAUGGGCUCACAAAUCAACAUCUGGAAUGAUCCUUGGAUUCCUUCUAGUGAAACAAGGAAAAUUAUAACUUCGAGGGGAGUAACUAUGUUGAGCAAGGUUGAGGAAUUAAUGGACCCAUAUACUGAUUAG